AACGAACGCUGGCGGCGCGCCUAAUACAUGCAAGUCGAGCGAGAAGACGUAGCAAUACGUUUGUUAAAGCGGCGAACGGGUGAGGAAUACAUGGGUAACCUACCCUCGAGUGGGAAGUAACUAGCCGAAGGUUAGCUAAUACCGCGUACGCUCCUUGGACUUCGGUUUCAGGGAGGGAAAGACGAUACCGUGGGUAGUCGCGCUCAUGGAUGGGCUCAUGUCCUAUCAGCUUGUUGGUGAGGUAACGGCUCACCAAGGCUUCGACGGGUAGCUGGUCUGAGGGGACGGAUCAGCCACACUGGCACUGCGACACGGGCCAGACUCCUACGGGAGGCAGCAGUAAGGAAUAUUGCGCAAUGGGCGAAAGCCUGACGCAGCGACGCCGCGUGGGGGAUGAAGGGUCUUCGGA
rnacentral:rRNA from 1 species